rnacentral:misc_RNA from 1 species
AACGCAUAUUGCGCUCUCUGGUAUUCCGGAGAGCAUGCUUGUUUGAGUAUCAGUAAACACCUCAACUCCCCUUUCUUUUUUGAAAUGGGAGCUGGACUUGAGUGAUCCCAACGCUUUUCUCACCGAAAAGCGGCGGGUUACUUGAAAUGCAGGUGCAGCUGGACUUUUCUCUGAGCUAUAAGCAUAUCUAUUUAGUCUGCCUAAAAAACAGAUUAUUACCUUUGCUGCAGCUAACAUAAAGGAGAUUAGUUCUUGUGCUGAUUGAUGCAGGAUUCACAGAGACAGCUUCGGCUGGCCUUUGUAAACUCGAUCUCAAAUCAAGUAAGACUACCCGCUGAACUUAA